GUCCUCUUAGCACAGCAGACAGUGCAUCAGUUUCAUAAUCUGAAGGUCCUGAGUUUGAGCCUCAGAGAGGGCA